rnacentral:rRNA from 1 species
GGGUUGUGAGGUUAAGCGACUAAGCGUACACGGUGGAUGCCCUGGCAGUCAGAGGCGAUGAAGGACGUGCUAAUCUGCGAUAAGCGCCGGUAAGGUGAUAUGAACCGUUAUAACCGGCGAUUUCCGAAUGGGGAAACCCAGUGUGAUUCGUCACACUAUCAUUAACUGAAUCCAUAGGUUAAUGAGGCGAACCGGGGGAACUGAAACAUCUAAGUACCCCGAGGAAAAGAAAUCAACCGAGAUUCCCCCAGUAGCGGCGAGCGAACGGGGAGGAGCCCAGAGCCUGAAUCAGCAUGUGUGUUAGUGGAAGCGUCUGGAAAGGCGCGCGAUACAGGGUGACAGCCCCGUACACAAAAGCGCAUGUGCUGUGAGCUCGAUGAGUAGGGCGGGACACGUGGUAUCCUGUCUGAAUAUGGGGGGACCAUCCUCCAAGGCUAAAUACUCCUGACUGACCGAUAGUGAACCAGUACCGUGAGGGAAAGGCGAAAAGAACCCCGGCGAGGGGAGUGAAAAAGAACCUGAAACCGUGUACGUACAAGCAGUGGGAGCACAGGUUUACCUGUGUGACUGCGUACCUUUUGUAUAAUGGGUCAGCGACUUAUAUUCUGUAGCAAGGUUAACCGUAUAGGGGAGCCGUAGGGAAACCGAGUCUUAACCGGGCGUUAAGUUGCAGGGUAUAGACCCGAAACCCGGUGAUCUAGCCAUGGGCAGGUU